AAUAUUGGACAAUGGGCGAAAGCCUGAUCCAGCCAUGCCGCGUGUGUGAAGAAGGUCUUCGGAUUUUAAAGCACUUUAAGUUGGAGGAAGGGUUGUAGGUUAAUACCCUGCAAUGUUGACGUUACCAACAGAAUAAGGACCGGCUAACUUCGUGCCAGCAGCCGCAGUAAUACGAAGGGUGCAAGCGUUAAUCGGAAUUACGGGGAGUAAAGCGCGCGUAGGUGGAUCGUUAAGUUGGAAGUAAAAGCCCCGGGCUUAACCUGGGAAGUACUUUCAAAACUGACGAGCUAGAGUACGGUAGAGGGUAGUGGAAUUACCUGUGUAGCGGUGAAAUGCGUAGAUAUAGGAAGGAACAUCAGUGGCGAAGGCGACUACCUGGACUGAUACUGACACUGAGGUGCGAAAGCGUGGGGAGCAAACAGG
rnacentral:rRNA from 1 species